rnacentral:rRNA from 1 species
CCGGGGUCAGCGGCAGACGGGUGAGUAACGCGUGGGAACGUGCCCUUCGGUUCGGAAUAACUCAGGGAAACUUGAGCUAAUACCGGAUACGUGCGAGAGCAGAAAGGUUUAUCUGCCGAAGGAUCGGCCCGCGUCUGAUUAGCUAGUUGGUGAGGUUAUGGCUCACCAAGGCGACGAUCAGUAGCUGGUCUGAGAGGACGACCAGCCACACUGGGACUGAGACACGGCCCAG